rnacentral:rRNA from 1 species
GGGUGUUUAACUGGCGUGAUGUGGGACGUCCUACCGGUGGGCUUAGCCUCGCGAGGGGCGGCCCAACUAAUAUCCCGUCGCGGUGCUCUUUACUGAGUGUCGAGUCCGGCCGGUACGUUUACUUUGAACAAAUUACAGUGCUUAAAGCAGGCUAUCCUCGCCUGAAUACUGCGUGCAUGGAAUAAUGGAAUAGGACCUCGGUUCUAUUUUGUUGGUUUUCGGAACCCCGAGGUAAUGAUUAAUAGGGACAGAUGGGGGCAUUCGUAUUGCGACGUUAGAGGUGAAAUUCUUGGAUCGUCGCAAGACGGACAGAAGCGAAAGCAUUUGCCAAAAAUGUUUUCAUUAAUCAAGAACGAAAGUUAGAGGUUCGAAGGCGAUCAGAUACCGCCCUAGUUCUAACCAUAAACGAUGCCAGCUAGCGAUCCGCCGAAGUUCCUCCGAUGACUCGGCGGGCAGCUUCCGGGAAACCAAAGCUUUUGGGUUCCGGGGGAAGUAUGGUUGCAAAGCUGAAACUUAAAGGAAUUGACGGAAGGGCACCACCAGGAGUGGAGCCUGCGGCUUAAUUUGACUCAACACGGGAAACCUCACCAGGCCCAGACACCGGAAGGAUUGACAGAUUGAUAGCUCUUUCUUGAUUCGGUGGGUGGUGGUGCAUGGCCGUUCUUAGUUGGUGGAGCGAUUUGUCUGGUUAAUUCCGAUAACGAACGAGACUCUAGCCUGCUAAAUAGGCGUACCUUAUGGUAUCGCGAAGGCCCCCGGCUUCGGCCGGUGGGUUUUUACUACCAACGUACAAACAAAUCUUCUUAGAGGGACAGGCGG